GAUGAAGAACGUAGUGAAAUGCGAUACUUGGUGUGAAUUGCAGAAUCCCGUGAACCAUCGAGUCUUUGAACGCAAGUUGCGCCCGAAGCCACUAGGCCGAGGGCACGCCUGCCUGGGCGUCACACGUAGUUGCCCCCCACCAUCUACUCCUUCGGGAUUGCGGGGGGCGGAUGAUGGCCUCCCGUGCGCCUAGCCGCGCGGUUGGCAUAAAUACCAAGUCCUCGGCGACGCACGCCACGACAAUCGGUGGUUGCGAAACCUCGGUUGCCCGUCGUGUGCGUUCGUCGCGCAUCGAGGGCUCGAAAAAAUGCUCGGCUCCGGCUCGGCUUUCAACGCGACCCCAGGUCAGGCGGGGUUACCCGCUGAAUUUAAGCAUAUCAAUAAGCGGAGGA
rnacentral:misc_RNA from 1 species